rnacentral:rRNA from 1 species
GACGAACGCUGGCGGCGUGCUUAACACAUGCAAGUCGAACGGAAAGGCCCUGCUUUUGUGGGGUGCUCGAGUGGCGAACGGGUGAGUAACACGUGAGUAACCUGCCCUUGACUUUGGGAUAACUUCAGGAAACUGGGGCUAAUACCGGAUAGGAGCUCCUGCUGCAUGGUGGGGGUUGGAAAGUUUCGGCGGUUGGGGAUGGACUCGCGGCUUAUCAGCUUGUUGGUGGGGUAGUGGCUUACCAAGGCUUUGACGGGUAGCCGGCCUGGGAGGGUGACCGGCCACAUUGGGACUGAGAUACGGCCCAGACUCCUACGGGAGGCAGCAGUGGGGUAUAUUGCACUAUGGGCGGAAGCCUGAUGCAGCAACGCCGCGUGCGGGAUGACGGCCUUCGGGUUGUAAACCGCUUUCGCCUGUGACGAAGCGUGAGUGACGGUAAUGGGUAAAGAAGCACCGGCUAACUACGUG